rnacentral:ncRNA from 1 species
UUGACCAUUGUGGUUGUUUUUGUUAAAAAAAAACGAGAAUGUCACCUAGUAGUGCAUUGACGAAGUGUUUUUUAGCUCUUUAAGGGGUAGAGAUCCGCUGCCCUCCAACGUACCCCCUCCAACCCGAGAUGAGGUGCGUUCUUUACCGAUCGACCUUGAUUUUCUGAGAAGGGUUCAAGUGAGGGCAUGCCAGUCGGGACUCAAAAGAUGGUUAACUAUGUCUAAGUAGGGCAAAGCCAGAGAAAACUAUGGUGGAAGCCUGCAGUGAUACUGACGUGCAAAUCUUUCAUCUGACUUGGGUAUAGGGGUGAAAGACUAAUCGAACCGUUUAGCAACUGG